rnacentral:rRNA from 1 species
AUUGAACGCUGGCGGCAUGCCUUGCACAUGCAAGUCGAACGGCAGCACGGGGCAACCUGGUGGCGAGUGGCGAACGGGUGAGUAAUGCAUCGGAACGUACCUUUCAGUGGGGGAUAACGUAGCGAAAGUUACGCUAAUACCGCAUAUUCUGUGAGCAGGAAAGCAGGGGAUCGCAAGACCUUGCGCUGAUUGAGCGGCCGAUGUCAGAUUAGCUAGUUGGUGAGGUAAAGGCUCACCAAGGCGACGAUCUGUAGCGGGUGUGAGAGGAUGAUCCGCCACACUGGAACUGAGACACGGUCCAGACUCCUACGGGAGGCAGCAGUGGGGAAUUUUGGACAAUGGGGGCAACCCUGAUCCAGCCAUGCCGCGUGAGUGAAGAAGGCCUUCGGGUUGUAAAGCUCUUUCGGCCGGGAAGAAAUCGCACGGGCUAAUACCCUGUGUGGAUGACGGUACCGGAAUAAGAAGCACCGGCUAAUUACGUGCCAGCAGCCGCCGUAACAC